UAUGAACGCUGGCGGCGUGCCUAAUACAUGCAAGUCGAGCGAAGCGGGGACGGGUGAGUAACACGUGGAUAACCGGCUAUAAGACUGGGAUAACGUCCGGAAACCGGAGCUAAACCGGAUACGUAUAGCAGGAUACACGUGGCAUUAGCUAGUUGGUAAGGUGACGGCUUACCAAGGCAACGAUGAAGAGCCGACCUGAGAGGGUGAUGGCCGACACUGUAAAUGAGAAACGGAGCAGACUCCUACGGGAGUGGGCAGUAGGGAAGCGUCAGCGAGGGGCGAAAGUCUGCAGAAGCAACGCCGCGUGAGGGAGGAAGGUAUUCAGAUAUUAAAACUCUGUUGUUAGGGAAGCGGUACCUAUGCAGAAAGCCCCGGCUAACUACGUGCCAGCAGCCGCGGUAAUUC
rnacentral:rRNA from 1 species